CCGGGCGAGGCGGGUUCCUCGGCAGAGCCCACCCUGUCACUGCGGCAGCCUAUCGGCGGCACCCCGCAGGCCGCUCCUGUUCCCGCCCCCGACCCGAGCCUUUCGGGUGGCUCCGCCCACAGCGGGCGGCUUCUGAAGCCACGCCUGCGCAGGUCGUCGGCGAGUGGCCCGGGUUAGCUUCCCCAUAAGAUCUGAAACUUGUCAGCACCAUCUUCUUGAUGAUGACCUUGAGUUCUCUCAGUUACAAUGCAGUUUCUUCUUUCAACCAUGCUUCCUUGAGGAAACCCAGCCCCAGACUUCCUCCCUGGAGGCAUGGACAGAGGAUUCUCUGAAGUCAUCCUGACUGAAACAACAGAUUGAGAAUUAAUUCACUUGGGGUCAGUGCCAGGUGAUUGUCGGCUAAUGACAGAGAAGACAAAUGGAAAACAUCUGGACAUUUGAAGGGCAAUGACCAUAAACUGCUUCUCAGAUACUGGAGUCUGAGCACACCAUCUGUUGACUAAGUGAAUAGUUGACCUGAGAAGAAAGUUGCUUAAGAGGGAGGUGCCCUGAGAAAAUGCCACUGAGAGAGGAGCGUCAUCUGGGUUGGGAACCCAAAGCAAGCAAACCAUCCAGAUCCUGAGUGGGGUCAUUUUCUUGCUUUUGAUGUAGUAUGGGGAGCAUCCAGUUUUCAUAGAAUGCAGAAUAAAAUUAUACUAAUA